rnacentral:rRNA from 1 species
GUGCCGAAAAAUGUGAUUCCAUCUGAGGAGCAACCUGUUGCAGAUAACCAAACAAAUGAUAUUCCUAUUGAUAUGCAAACUGAUGAGCAACAGGUUGUGGCACCGGAAGAAGUUGCAGCAGGAGAAGGUACAAUUGAAAGCACAAAAUAUGUAAGGGACCCCGGUAUGCGCCAGCAAAUUUGGGAACUCCCUCAUGAUGAGCAAGAAGAAGCACGCCGCUUCUAUAUUUUGAAGGGAGCUUAUCAACCAUACAUGAGAGAAUAUCCAUAUAAUAAACCAGGAAAAAAUCGUCGUCGAUUUCAAUACAGUUAUUUCAAUUCUUUUCCUUGGCUUGAGUAUUCGAUGGAAACACAUCGUGCGUACUGCCUACCUUGUUUUCUCUUCACAAAAAAGCCAAGUGGAAGGUGUGGCUCUGAUGCAUUCACAUUUAAGGGAUUUAAUAAUUGGAAGAAGGUGAAUGAUGGAAACGAAUGUGCUUUCUUAACUCACAUGGGCAAAGAUUCCAACUCCGCUCAUAACUUUUCUCAGCGGUGUCAUGAUAAUCUGAAAAAUAGUUUGACUCACAUUGACAAGUCAAUGGUGAAAGUGUGUGCAAAAAAGGUCGCAGAUGCAAGGCUAAGGCUUAAAGUUACAAUUGAUUGCAUCAAAUGGUUAACAUUCCAAGCUUGUGCUUAUAGAGGCCAUGACGAAUCUCCGGGAUCAAGUAAUCAGGGUAAUUUUCUUCAUCUGGUGAGGUUCUUGGCUUCUUAUAGCAAAGAGGUGAAUGCGGUUGUUUUCGAAAAUGCUCCAAGGAACGCGAAGUACACCUCCCAUACAGUGCAACUAGAAAUCCUCACAUUACUUUGUAGUAGAGUUAAGGAAAAAAUUAGAGAUGAAAUUGGUACUAGCAAGUUCUGCAGAAUGGUAGACGAAGCACGAGAUGAAUCAAAGAAAGAGCAAAUGGCAUUGGUUCUUCGAUUCCCGAGCACCGAGGGGUUCAUACAGGAGCGUUUUCUUGAUGUAAUUCAUGUCACUGACACUACUGCUUUGACUCUCAAGAAGGCAAUUUGCAAAGUCCUUUCUGAUAAUAAUUUGAAUGUCCAAGACAUUAGAGGACAAGGCUAUGACGGGGCAAGUAAUAUGAGAGGUGAAUGGAAUGGAUUGAAGGCUCUAAUUCUGAAUGACUGCCCUUAUGCAUAUUAUGUGCAUUGCAUGGCUCAUUAGUUACAGUUAGCUCUUGUUGCCGCGUCAAGGGAGGUACAUGAUGUGCAUAACUUUUUCCAAAAUGCAAAUUUCAUUAUAAAUGUUGUUAGCGCAUCGACUAAACGUAAUGAUGAGUUGUUAGCAAAUAAAGUUGCGGAGAUUGCACUCCUAAGGAGUAUAGCAAAUGACCGUGCAGCCUCGAAAUAUUCUAGAGGAGAUGCCGUAGGAGCCCUAAAAAUAAUUAUGUCAUUUGAUUUUGUGUUCAUUUUACAUCUAAUGGAGUAAAUCAUGAAAAUCACUAAUGUUUUAUGUCAAACAAUCCAAAAGAAGUCACUA